AGCGAACGCUGGCGGCAGGCCUAACACAUGCAAGUCGAACGAAGCCUUCGGGCUUAGUGGCGGACGGGUGAGUAGCACGUGGGAACGUACCUUUUGGUUCGGAACAACUCAGGGAAACUUGAGCUAAUACCGGAUGAGCCCUUAGGGGGAAAGAUUUAUCGCCGAAAGAGCGGCCCGCGUUAGAUUAGCUAGUUGGUGAGGUAAAGGCUCACCAAGGCAACGAUCUAUAGCUGGUCUGAGAGGAUGAUCAGCCACACUGGGACUGAGACACGGCCCAGACUCCUACGGGAGGCAGCAGUGGGGAAUCUUGCGCAAUGGGCGAAAGCUUGACGCAGCCAUGCCGCGUGAAUGACGAAGGUCUUAGGAUUGUAAAAUUCUUUUACCAGGGACGAUAAUGACGGUACCUGGAGAAAAAGCCCCGGCUAACUUCGUGCCAGCAGCCGCGGUAACAC
rnacentral:rRNA from 1 species